GAGUCACUUUGUAAACCAGCGUCUGCAACAACGACACAGAAUGACUAAAGAUGGAAACUCAACAUUUAAACGUGAGCUCAACAGUCAUCUUAUAAAAGUGAAACAACAAAUAGUUUUUAUUAUCUAAUCCUCGUCAAUAAACAAAAGGUCACUAACUUAUCAACUCAUCAGCUGCUGGUUUGUAGAUGUCUUCUAUUUUCUUCAGUAAACCCGACAUGACUUCACCUGUAAAGCGGAAUAAAAGCAGCAUUUAUUAUUGUGUGGAAGAGAGGAAGCUUCACCUGGUGCUGCUUGUGGACGGCGUUCACUUUGGGUUUUCCAUUAAAAAAGAUUUGUGAAAAUGACAGUUGUAAGGAGAAGCAGAAUGAUGCAACAAUGGAUUUUUGUCACGGUGUGGUUCACUUCCUGUUGUAUUUUGUAGUUUUCUGCCACUCGUGUCCCCGGGUAACUUCACUUCCUGCCUUGUCCCGUCAUCCCCUGUGAUCGUCUAAUAGUUUCCACCUGUGUCCAAUCACCUGCACCUCCCUUGUGUAUUUAAGCCGUGUGUCUCUUGUGUCACUGGUCGCGUCAUUGUCUUUUGCCACGCAUGUUCUUCUCUCUUGUUGUGGAUAACCGUAGGUUCAUGCCUGUGUGUUUUUGCCCAUUUUGGAUUUUUGACCUUUGACUAUUAAAGUCCUUCUGUUCCUGCAAGUCUGCAUUUUGAGUCCUGCCUUCCACCCCCACCCCUGACAGAAUGACGCGACCCAAGAAGGGCUCAGCAGACCCGCUGCCAGACUACGGUCCGGACUACCUGGACGUAAGAAGUCCCUUCUGGCAGCGGAAAACAAAUUGUGUUUUUGGUCUCAGGAGCUAUCAGCUCGCCUGCCUCGAGCUCCGGGACCUCCUUAAUCCUAAGAGGAGCCCUGGCCAGAGGAAGAACAGACUUCCCGCUGGGCCGCCGAAGCGAUCUCCCGUUCCCGCUGGGCCGCCGAAGCAAUCUCCCGUUCCCGCUGGGCCGCCGCAGCGAUCUCCCGCUGGGCCGCCGCAGCGAUGGCCGCCGCAGCGAUCUCCCGCUGGGCCGCCGCAGCGAUGGCCGCCGCAGCGAUCUCCCGUUGGGCCGCCGCAGCGAUUUCCCGCUGGGCCGCCGCAGCGAUCUCCCGUUCCGAGACUCUCAGUCCCGACACAGACUCGGCCAGUCCCCGCUCCGAGACUCUCAGUCCCGACCCCGGUACCGGCCCCACGAACCAUGCCCCCAGUCCCCGCUCUGAGACUCAGGCUCCCUCCCUCCCAUCCCAUGGUCCUCUCCCACCCUCCCGUGGGUGAUUUGAGGGCCGUCUGGGAUCCGGCCCUUGAGGGGGGGGCUACGGGGUGGGUUAUGGGGGGGGCUGAGCCGCCGACUGCGGAGGUGUUCCGUGUCCCCGAGCUGCCGACGACGACUGCGGAGGUUUCCCGUGUCCCCGAGCUGCCGCCGACAACCGCGGAGGUUUCCCGUGUGCCCGAGCUGCCGCCGACUACCGCGGAGGUUUCCCGUGUGCCCGAGC
ensembl:lncRNA